AUUGAACGCUGGCGGCAGGCCUAACACAUGCAAGUCGAACGAGUGGCGGACGGGUGAGUAAUGUCUGGGAAACUGCCCGAUGGAGGGGGAUCACUACUGUAAACGGUAGCUAAUACCGCAUACCAUCGGAUUUGCCCAGAUGGGAUUAGCGAGUCGGUGGGGUAACGGCUAACCUAGGCGACGAUCCCUAGCGGGUCUGAGAGGAUGACCAGCGACACUGGAACUGAGACAAGGUACAGACUCCUACGUGAGGCAUCAGUGGGGAAAAUUGAAGUAGGGGCGCAAGCCUGAUGAAGCCAUGCCGCGUGUAGGAAGAAGGCCUGCGGGUUGUAAAGUAAUUUCAGCGAGGAGGCGUUACUCGCAGAAGAAGCACCGGCUAACUCCGUGCCAGCAGCCGCGGUAAUAC
rnacentral:rRNA from 1 species